rnacentral:rRNA from 1 species
CCGUAGGUGAACCUGCGGAAGGAUCAUUAAAGAGUAAGGGUGCUCAGCGCCCGACCUCCAACCCUUUGUUGUUAAAACUACCUUGUUGCUUUGGCGGGACCGCUCGGUCUCGAGCCGCUGGGGAUUCGUCCCAGGCGAGCGCCCGCCAGAGUUAAACCAAACUCUUGUUAUUUAACCGGUCGUCUGAGUUAAAAUUUUGAAUAAAUCAAAACUUUCAACAACGGAUCUCUUGGUUCUCGCAUCGAUGAAGAACGCAGCGAAAUGCGAUAAGUAAUGUGAAUUGCAGAAUUCAGUGAAUCAUCGAAUCUUUGAACGCACAUUGCGCCCCUUGGUAUUCCGAGGGGCAUGCCUGUUCGAGCGUCAUUACACCACUCAAGCUAUGCUUGGUAUUGGGCGUCGUCCUUAGUUGGGCGCGCCUUAAAGACCUCGGCGAGGCCACUCCGGCUUUAGGCGUAGUAGAAUUUAUUCGAACGUCUGUCAAAGGAGAGGAACUCUGCCGACUGAAACCUUUAUUUUUCUAGGUUGACCUCGGAUCAGGUAGGGAUACCCGCUGAACUUAAGCAUAUCAAUAAGCGGAGGAA